CAAUAGCGUAUAUUUAAGUUGUUGCAGUUAAAAAGCUCGUAGUUGGAUUUUGGGUGCGGCAGGCCGGUCCGCCGUUUCGGUGUGCACUGGCAGGCGGCAUCUUUCUGUCGAGGACGCGCUCCUGGUCUUUAUUUGAUCGGGACGCGGAGUCGGCGCAGUUACUUUGAAAAAAUUAGAGUGUUCAAAGCGGGCCUACGCUUGAAUAUAUUAGCAUGGAAUAACACCAUAGGACUCCUGUCCUAUUCUGUUGGUCUUCGGGAUGGGAGUAAUGAUUAAGAGGAACAGUUGGGGGCAUUAGUAUUUAAUUGUCAGAGGUGGAAUUCUCGGAUUUGUUAAAGACUAACUUAUGCGAAAGCAUUUGCCAAGGAUGUUUUCAUUAAUCAAGAACGAAAGUUAGGGGAUCAAAGACGAUCAGAUACCAU
rnacentral:rRNA from 1 species